CCUACGGGGGGCAGCAGUGAGGAAUAUUGGUCAAUGGGCGGAAGCCUGAACCAGCCAAGUAGCGUGCAGGAUGACGGCCCUACGGGUUGUAAACUGCUUUUAUACGGGAAUAACGCGCCUUACGUGUAGGGCUUUGCAUGUACCGUAUGAAUAAGGACCCGCUAAUUCCGUGCCAGGAGCCGCGGGAAUUAGGAAGGUCCGGGCGUUAUCCGGAUUUAUUGGGUUUAAAGGGAGCGUUGGCCGCAUGUCCAGCGUGCCGUGAAAUGUUCGGGGUCAACCCUGGCCUUGCAGCGCGAACUGGCGUGCUUGAGUCCGCGGAAAGCAUGCGGAAUUCGUCGUGUAGCGGUGAAAUGCUUAGAUAUGACGAAGAACCCCGAUUGCGAAGGCAGCUUGCUGCAGCGGAACUGACGCUGAUGCUCGAAAGCGCGGGUAUCGAACAGGAUUAGAUACCCGGGUAGUC
rnacentral:rRNA from 1 species